CCUCAAAGAGGGGGACAACAGUUGGAAACGACUGCUAAUACCGCAUAAGCCCACAGCUCGGCAUCGAGCAGAGGGAAAAGGAGCAAUCCGCUUUGAGAUGGCCUCGCGUCCGAUUAGCUAGUUGGUGAGGUAAUGGCCCACCAAGGCAACGAUCGGUAGCCGGACUGAGAGGUUGAACGGCCACAUUGGGACUGAGACACGGCCCAGACUCCUACGGGAGGCAGCAGUGGGGAAUAUUGCACAAUGGGGGAAACCCUGAUGCAGCGACGCCGCGUGGAGGAAGAAGGUCUUCGGAUUGUAAACUCCUGUUGUUGAGGAAGAUAAUGACGGUACUCAACAAGGAAGUGACGGCUAACUACGUGCCAGCAGCCGCGGUAAAACGUAGGUCACAAGCGUUGUCCGGAAUUACUGGGUGUAAAGGGAGCGCAGCGGGAAGACAAGUUGGAAGUGAAAUCUAUGGGCUCAACCCAUAAACUGCUUUCAAAACUGUUUUUCUUGAGUAGUGCGGAGGUAGGCGGAAUUCCCGGUGUAGCGGUGGAUGCGUAGAUAUCGGGAGGACACCAGUGGCGAAGGCGGCCU
rnacentral:rRNA from 1 species